CCGGGGCAUCCCGGAGGCAGGAAAGGCUUCGGCCGGACAGGGAUGGGCAUGCGGCGCAUUAGGCAGUAGGCGGGGUAACGGCCCACCUAACCGACGAUGCGUAGGGGUUCUGAGAGGAAGGUCCCCCACACUGGUACUGAGACACGGACCAGACUCCUACGGGAGGCAGCAGUGAGGAAUAUUGGUCAAUGGUCGGGAGACUGAACCAGCCAAGCCGCGUGAGGGAGGAAGGUACAGAGUAUCGUAAACCUCUUUUGUCAGGGAACAAAGACUGGGACGCGUCCCCGGAUGAGUGUACCUGAAGAAAAAGCAUCGGCUAACUCCGUGCCAGCAGCCGCGGUAAUACGGAGGAUGCGAGCGUUAUCCGGAUUUAUUGGGUUUAAAGGGUGCGCAGGCGGUCUGUUAAGUCAGCGGUCAAAGCCCGGGGCUCAACCCCGGCCCGCCGUUGAAACUGGCAGUCUCGAGUUGGAGAGAAGUAUGCGGAAUGCGCGGUGUAGCGGUGAAAUGCAUAGAUAUCGCGCAGAACUCCGAUUGCGAAGGCAGCAUGCCGGCUCCACACUGACGCUGAGGCACGAAAGCGUGGGUAUCGAACAGGAUUAGAUACCCUGGUAGUCCACGCAGUAAACGAUGAAUGCUGGCUGUCCGGG
rnacentral:rRNA from 1 species